GCGAGCGGCUGGGCGGGCUUCGGGUGAGUCCCGAGGAAGUUCCUCCCCCCUCCGGCGCGGCCAGCCACCGCGAGGUGGGCGGGGAGACCCGCGGCAACGCCACAGAAACGAGACCCCUCCGCCGCGGAUGAAGAUGACCCACGGUGAGUGGCGAUGAGUGGCGGAGAAUGGAUGAAACGGGCGGCCCUGGCGGGGAAAGGUUGGCCUCCCGUGAGGCGCGCCGGCGAGGAGGCAGGCCCCGAGAAGAUAGAUCCCGCCUAGAACAGAAGGAGGACUACGGGCCGCACGC
rnacentral:RNase_P_RNA from 1 species